GGGAGUUUGGCCGAGUGGUUAAGGCGCUGUGUUUAGGUCUUCUUCAAGAACAUCUUGAACCCCUUCCCGCAGUGGGAAACCGCGCAGGUUCGAAUCCUGCAGCUCUCA
rnacentral:tRNA from 1 species